GCUACUCCAAAAUCUGAAAAAAGUCCAGUGCAGAUGACUAUAAUAUUGAUUAUGCAUAAGGUGGCCUGGGAAGAGUUAACCCCACUACUGGCUUGUUUAUAAAAGUGAGUUUGGCUGAAGCCUAUAUGCCGAGGUCAGAGUAAUUCGCACCCAAAUUCCAUUCCCAAAACUAAACCUUCAGAUGAGCAGGACAAUCUUCAAAUUACAAUCCCAUAUUUUGCCUAUUCUCCUCCUAAUUUGAGACUGUUUUGUCUUGUUCUGAGCUUUGUUUACAUUGAUUUCCAUAGAAACCACAUAGCUGCCUUUAUCCCAAUUGAUUGCCAAUAAAAGUCAAUGCCUGUGACUGUCCAGUGCUUUGUUGGUUGCACUGGCAUUGGUCGUCCUGGCCCCCUGCUUUCUCUCUCUUAGUUCUCUCUCUCAGUGUAUCUUUUUUUUCAGGCCUGCAUUGCACAACGGGCAGGUGGGGACUGGAACCUGACUACAGGGGUCUCUAACAGUUGGCACCCAUCGUGGGAGCUUGAACCAUGAGCAAUCAUCUGCUCAGCCAGGCUACUCAGAAUAAAAAGGAAAAAAGAAAAAGAAAGAAAAGAAUCGAUGACACAGUGCACCUCGCAUCAAGGUCAAGGACAACCACAAAAUCUAGGAGAAAAAGAGCUAGAAAGAAGGAGCCUGGGAGCUGCCCAAGCUUCUGCUCCACAGCAAUCAGCUGCUGGUGAGAACUGUUCAAUUUCUGUUUUAGAACAACUGCUUGCCAUACCUGCUGUCCUUCACAAUGUGGACUUCCUUCUCUCAGAAAAUGUGACAUCGUUACAGGCAAACCCCAGUGCGUCCCCUCUGGAAGAGGUCGACCUGCCUCCCCCUCUGCUUGAGUUGCUAAGAUCACAGGUGUGGAGGAGGUGGGGGCAAAAGCAUGAGGAGUUGCUUGUUCUUACUGCACCGGAGGGUGCAGGUGGGGAACCAUGGUCAGACUCAGAGAGGGUGGAGCAGGACUCACACACAGACUGGAAAGAGCUAAAAUGAGAAAAUAAGUAAUGGGUUGAAAACAGCUAGGAAAGCUUUGAAAAGCAUAAAGCAAAAUAGUGAGAAAAAAACACUCCAGGCUUUAAGAACCAGGGCCAGCUCUGUGUUAUCAGCCUGAUGAUGUCUGCAAAAGUCUGAAAUCCAAAACUAAGCCAGAGGAACUGCAAAUGUGCUUUACCAGACAUCAAGAGAUUUUACAAGAGAAAUCAAGUUGCAAAUUUUAGCUAAUUGAUGAAUGUAUCUUUGUUUCAAUUUGAGUUGAUGUUUUGUUGGUGUGCUUAAAAAAACUUCUUGGGCAUUGCAAAUUCUUGAAUUGUGAUUAUAGGGUUAACUGGCUCUUUUCUGUACUUUGUUGAUGAAGAAUUCAAGGUUAGUUCUCUUGGAAGUCAAAAUUUAAAAUGUAACAAUCUGAGAACAGAAGAAAAAAGGGACACUAACAUUUUAAUAGCUGAAGGGCC
rnacentral:lncRNA from 1 species